rnacentral:rRNA from 1 species
GAGUUUGAUCGUGGCUCAGGACGAACGCUGGCGGCAUGCCUAACACAUGCAAGUCGAACGGAGAUUAUUUCGGUAAUCUUAGUGGCGAACGGGUGAGUAACGCGUAGGCAACCUGCCCUUUAGUUGGGGACAACAUUCCGAAAGGGGUGCUAAUACCGAAUGUGACAGUUUUCUCGCAUGAGAUUACUGUGAAAGAUGGCCUCUAUUUAUAAGCUAUCGCUAAAGGAUGGGCCUGCGUCUGAUUAGCUAGUUGGUGGGUAACGGCCUACCAAGGCGAUGAUCAGUAGCCGGUCUGAGAGGAUGAACGGCCACAUUGGGACUGAGACACGGCCCAGACUCCUACGGGAGGCAGCAGUGGGGAAUCUUCCGCAAUGGGCGAAAGCCUGACGGAGCAAUGCCGCGUGAGUGAUGAAGGAAUUCGUUCCGUAAAGCUCUUUUGUUUAUGACGAAUGUGCAGACUGUGAAUAAUGGUUUGUAAUGACGGUAGUAAACG